rnacentral:rRNA from 1 species
GAUGAACGCUGGCGGCGUGCCUAAUACAUGCAAGUCGAGCGAACAGACGAGGAGCUUGCUCCUCUGACGUUAGCGGCGGACGGGUGAGUAACACGUGGAUAACCUACCUAUAAGACUGGGAUAACUUCGGGAAACCGGAGCUAAUACCGGAUAAUAUAUUGAACCGCAUGGUUCAAUAGUGAAAGACGGUUUUGCUGUCACUUAUAGAUGGAUCCGCGCCGCAUUAGCUAGUUGGUAAGGUAACGGCUUACCAAGGCAACGAUGCGUAGCCGACCUGAGAGGGGGAUCGGCCACACGGGAACUGAGACACGGUCCAGACCCCUACGGGGGGCAGCAGUAGGGAAUCUUCCGCAAUGGGCGAAAGCUUGACGGAGCAACGCGGCGGGGGUGAUGAAGGUCUGCGGAUCGUAAAACUCUGUUAUUAGGGAAGAACAAAUGUGUAAGUAACUAUGCACGUCUGGACGGUACCUAAUCAGAAAGCCCCGGCUAACUACGU